rnacentral:rRNA from 1 species
CCCUUAGAUGUUCUGGGCCGCACGCGCGCUACACUGACGGAGCCAACGAGUACUUUCCUUGUCCGAAAGGACUGGGUAAUCUUGUGAAACUUUGUCGUGCUGGGGAUAGAGCAUUGCAAUUAUUGCUCUUCAACGAGGAAUUCCUAGUAAGCGUGAGUCAUCAGCUCGCGUUGAUUACGUCCCUGCCCUUUGUACACACCGCCCGUCGCUACUACCGAUUGAAUGGCUUAGUGAGCCUUUGGGACUAGCCGCUUGUACCGGCAACGGGAACGAGUGGCCGGGAACUUAGGCAAACUUGGUCAUUUAGAGGAAGUAAAAGUCGUAACA